UGCGUAGGGAGCAAGCGUUGUCCGGAAUCAUUGGGCGUAAAGCGCGCGUAGGCGGCCCGGUCAGUCCGUCGUGAAAGUCAAAGGCUCAACCUUUGAAUGUCGAUGGAUACUGCCGGGCUGGAGUCCGGAAGAGGCGAGUGGAAUUCCUGGUGUAGCGGUGGAAUGCGCAGAUAUCAGGAGGAACACCAAUAGCGAAGGCAGCUCGCUGGGACGGUACUGACGCUGAGGCGCGAAAGCGUGGGGAGCGAACAGG
rnacentral:rRNA from 1 species